GUUGUGGAUUGGAUCUGAUUGUGGUGGCACCCUUUGCAAGUGCACAAAGGGGUGUGGGAUGAGUACUCAUUGCACCUUUCUUCAUGUGUUUUUGCACACCCACGCAAUGCUGGCCUAAAUACAGUUCAUAUUAAAAUUCAUAAAUCUGGUGUUGCUUUGAAUUAGUACAGCAGCAUGCCUCCUGGCAGACAUGUGGUGUGUUAACAAGCUGAAGGAAUCAGAAGGAAUCAGCUUUCCCAAAACUGCAGGUAGAGCAUUUCUAUCCUCCUAGUACAGAAAUGAAACAUUCUUCAUGCAAACCAACAUAUGCUUUAUUACUUCUGUCACUUAUGCUAUAUAUUCUACUCCUUGAAGAAAGGAGCUAUAAGAAAUCUUAAUGUUCGAAAGGAAUGAGUCCACGUGGUUUGGGAACAAUCCAACAGGACUCUAAAGAACAUGGGAUGGUUAAUGGGAGUGUUUUGGGCUAUACUGACACUACAUGAGCAGUGAUUUGAGAGACCAAUGUCAUAUAUUCUGAUUAUUCGAGAGGACAAUUGUAGUCUGUGGGAACAAAAAAAAUGGAAGAAGAAGAAACAACUAAACCUACAACCAUACUCCACAGUGCUUUGAUUUUUAAUUUUUUCCUCAUUUAUAAGUAUUUCGCAACGCCGUGUCACGUUUCACCUACCAGACGGCUCCCAGGAAAGCUGCAGUGACAGUGGGCUUGGAGACCAUGAACCCAGCAGCAGUGCUAGCACAUCGCAUCCUCUGCCCCUUGGUUUCCCCCAAGAGGAGUACUAUGAACAGGCUUCGCCCAACAGUCGGACAGAAGGAGAUGGCAAUUCGGACCCGGAGUCCAGCCAAGAUUUCAAAACCAAGUACAGACUGUGGAUGUCUCAGUUCUGGGACCCGAUUGUCCGAGGCUGGAUGCUGUGCUCUUUCUAAUGUGUGUAAACAAAGACUAAAAAGGAAAUUUUAAAAGUAGCAGAAUUCCAAUUUUUGUUUAUACGUAUCAAGCUGAUAUACUAUACUGUUUUAACUCAGAUGAUACCAAACUAGGAGGGAUUGCAACUGCUUUGGAGGACAGGGUCAUAAUUCAAAAUGACCUGGACAAAUUGGAGAAAUGGUCUGAGGUAAGCAGG
rnacentral:lncRNA from 1 species